rnacentral:rRNA from 1 species
UACGGAGGGCGCGAACGUUGUUCGGAGUCAUUGGGCGUAAAGCGCGUGUAGGCGGCUUGGUAAGUCGAGUGUGAAAGCCCCGGGCUCAACCCCGGAAGGUCGCUCGAAACUGCCUGGCUAGAGUCCCGGAGAGGAAGGCGGAAUUCCCGGUGUAGAGGUGAAAUUCGUAGAUAUCGGGAGGAACACCAGCGGCGAAGGCGGCCUUCUGGACGGUGACUGACGCUGAGACGCGAAAGCGUGGGGAGCAAACAGG